AUUGAACGCUGGCGGCAUGCUUUACACAUGCAAGUCGAACGGUAACAGCACUUCUGUGGCUGACGAGUGGCGAACGGGUGAGUAAUACAUCGGAACGUGCCUAGUAGUUGGGGAUAACUACUCGAAAGAGUAGCUAAUACCGCAUGAGAUCUAAGGAUGAAAGCAGGGGACCUUCGGGCCUUGCGCUACUAGAGCGGCUGAUGGCAGAUUAGGUAGUUGGUGGGAUAAAAGCUUACCAAGCCGACGAUCUGUAGCUGGUCUGAGAGGACGACCAGCCACACUGGGACUGAGACACGGCCCAGACUCCUACGGGAGGCAGCAGUGGGGAAUUUUGGACAAUGGGCGCAAGCCUGAUCCAGCAAUGCCGCGUGCAGGAUGAAGGCCUUCGGGUUGUAAACUGCUUUUGUACGGAACGAAAAGCCCUCUUCUAAUACAGGAGGGUCAUGACGGUACCGUAAGAAUAAGCACCGGCUAACUACGUG
rnacentral:rRNA from 1 species